rnacentral:rRNA from 1 species
CAGUCUGGCCUGCCCACUGAGUAUUUAAAGGGCUGCGGUAAUUUGACCGUGCGAAGGUAGCAUAGUCACUAGUCCCUUAAUUGGGGGCUUGUAUGAAAGGUCGGAUGAGAAAUAAGCUGUCUUUCCUAGAAUGUGAAUUUAACUUUUAAGUGAAAAGGCUUAAAUUUUUUAGGGGGGCGAUAAGACCCUAUAAAACUUAAUAUAUCUUCUUUCCGACGAGGGAGAAAAGUUUAAACCUGUUUCUAAGAAGAUGUAUUUCGUUGGGGAGAUGUUCGUAUAACUUGUAACUGCUUUAUAAAUAAAUAGUUAAUAACUAGUUUUUGAUCCUUUCUUARAGAUUUAAAGAUCAAGUUACUUUAGGGAUAACAGCGUAAUUGUCUUUGAGAGUUCUUAUCGACAGGAUUAGUUGCGACCUCGAUGUUGAAUUAAGAUUUCAGACUGGUGYAGCCGCUUUUCUGGUAGGUCUGUUCGACCUUUAAAA